rnacentral:lncRNA from 1 species
AAUCUCAGGACUAAAAAGGCCGAGGCUGAAGGUUCUCUGUGAGUUCGAGGCCACCCUGGUCUACAUAGUGAGUUUCAGGAUAGUUAGGGCUACUUAGUGAGACCCUAUCUCAAAACAAACAACAACAAAAUGUCACUGUAGAACGUGUGUGUGUGUGUGUGUGUGUGUGUGUGUGUGUGUCCCUGGAAACAUGAUUCUUGUUUGCCCAUCAAAGUCGGACAAAGGUCCUUUAGGAAAACAGACUGAGAAGAUCUUUCUUGCCUGGCCACGUGGGCAGAAGCAUGUAUGCCAAAGGGCAUGAGUGACACAGUGUAUAGCCCCAGACUUGACACAUCCCAGUACUACCUAUGACUACACUGUUUGCAGAUGGUGUUUAUGGAAAAAGUAAAACUUUAACUCAAGGAUACACGUGGUUAGCUAAUAGUAAUGGUUUCUGAUUAGGCAGCCUGAGAGACUUGCUUCUGGUUUUUUUCUAUGCCCUGACCCGAGAGUCCCUUAAAAUAAAUUCACAUGAGAACUAAGUCCCCCAUACUCCUCCUUACAGCAAGCACUCAGAAUCCAUCCUGACUGACAAUAGAGCCCACCUGUUCCAUCUGUUUUGUUUUUGCUUUGUUCUUUUGUUUUGUUUUGAUGUAGGGAGACAAUUAGAAAUAAUCAACC